rnacentral:lncRNA from 1 species
UGAAUUUGAUUUUAGCAGUAAACCAAAACAUCAGUGUGUAAGUUGCGCAAUUUCUAAUACAUUUCAGCUUCUGGUCUUGCCCAAGUUUUGUCUGAUUACGAUCAUCCAUUCAAAGCAAACAAUUACCAGGGGGGGAAAAAAGAACAGGUAAAAAGAAAGGCCUUGAUGCAAACAGCAAGAAUGGACAUUUGAUGAUGAAGCAAGCAUUUUCAACCAUAAGAGAUGCACUCAACGAGAAACUGUUUCUAUUUCUUUCCUGGUAAGGAAACAUACCCAACACUAUUCUACACCAACUAAUUCCAAUACUUAAAGAUUCUUCAAAUGAUAAUAUUCACUCUCUUUAUGAAGAUAUUUACAUAGCAUUUAAAAUACCAAAGUAUUGAUUGAUCUUCAGCACAAAGAGCUGCAAGUUCUUAAUUUGCAGCAGAUCUUGGAAACUCCGUAUCACUAACCUGAGAGUAGCCGUCUGCUUUUCGAGUCUCUUCCUCUUCAGCCAGAACUUUUUCUCUAGUCUUCUCACUCACUUCCCCUGCUGCCUUUGUAACCCGAUUAAAUGCACCAGUAACCCAAGAAGCCCCAGUCAGCACAUAACGAUUCUUCAUGAUGGCAGAUCCUGCAUUACUCACUGUCUGCUCGGCAGCUGAAAAGGCAGACUUGGUCUUCUCAGAAGAUUAAAUAAGCACUUAUGGGAUUAAAUAAAUAUUUAUGGAAUUAAAUAAGUAAUUAUGGCCAUUAGAUAAGUUAUACUAAACAUGCACUAAAUUGUCAGUGGCAAAUAAUUAAGGAUCUUAGUUGCAAUGAGGGUGUGAGAUAGUGUGAGAGAGAAUAUCACUUGCCCAGUAAUUUCAAAGGAAAUAAAUUUUUAAUUUUUAAAAAAUAAUUAAAGGGGUUUUAUAAGCUUAAAAAUAGGCUGCCGGUAGCUCUACUCGAAGCCGAACAUGGAUAAACCCAAAUAAAGCCCAACAUAGAAAAUCAUCUCCCCAACCCAAUGAGGUUAAUUUGCAAGAGUACAAGGCUUAUCAAUUAGCCACAUUCCCCAAUCCUAAUCGAAGUUUACGACCAAUUUUCUGUUAUGUUAGUGAUAUAUGUUUUUGUGAUACAAGAUGUUUGAUGAAAGUUUGCUAGUGGCUAUGAACUUGAGAAUUUAGAUUCUGGUAUCUUGGCUUUGUUGUUCCAUUUCUUGUUUUGCAUGUAGAAAUGAAAAUCAAUUAUGCAUCAAACUGUGUUCAUUAUGUUUCUGCGAUACUUUGCUUGUGAUCUGUCAUAUACCUGCUGAUUCACUGUUGCCUGAUCAUAGUCCAAAUUUGAGUAAAACAAGCAACUAUAAGCGUCCCAUACAUCUAGCUUCUUGAUAAGAUUGCAACUACUGAAUUUGAUUUUAGCAGUAAACCAAAACAUCAGUGUGUAAGUUGCGCAAUUUCUAAUACAUUUCAGCUUCUGGUCUUGCCCAAGUUUUGUCUGAUUACGAUCAUCCAUUCAAAGCAAACAAUUACCAGGGGGGGAAAAAAGAACAGGUAAAAAGAAAGGCCUUGAUGCAAACAGCAAGAAUGGACAUUUGAUGAUGAAGCAAGCAUUUUCAACCAUA